rnacentral:rRNA from 1 species
GACGAACGCUGGCGGCGUGCCUAAUACAUGCAAGUAGAACGCACAGUUUAUACCGUAGCUUGCUACACCAUAAACUGUGAGUUGCGAACGGGUGAGUAACGCGUAGGUAACCUGCCUGGUAGCGGGGGAUAACUAUUGGAAACGAUAGCUAAUACCGCAUAAUAUUGAUUAUUGCAUGAUAAUUGAUUGAAAGAUGCUAUUGCAUCACUACCAGAUGGACCUGCGUUGUAUUAGCUAGUAGGUGAGGUAACGGCUCACCUAGGCGACGAUACAUAGCCGACCUGGGAGGGUGGUCGGCCACACUGGGACUGAGACACGGCCCAGACUCCUACGGGAGGCAGCAGUAGGGAAUCUUCGGCAAUGGACGAAAGUCUGACCGAGCAACGCCGCGUGAGUGAAGAAGGUUUUCGGAUCGUAAAGCUCUGUUGUAAGAGAAGAACGGGUGUGAGAGUGGAAAGUUCACACUGUGACGGUAUCUUACCAGAAAGGGACGGCUAACUACGUG